rnacentral:rRNA from 1 species
AACGAACGCUGGCGGCGCGUCUUACACAUGCAAGUCGAACGGCAGGAAGGGGCUUGCCCCUUCUGAGAGUGGCGGACUGGUGAGUAACACGUGGGUGACAUACCUUUUAGUUGGGGAUAGCUAUUAGAAAUAGUAGGUAAUACCGAAUGUGACCGUACCUGUUAGAGGGGUACGAGGAAAGGAGCUAAGGCUUCGCUAAAAGAAUGGCUCGCGGCCCAUUAUGCUCGUUGGUGAGGUAACGGCCCACCAAGGCGAUGAUGGGUAUCCGGCCUGAGAGGGUGAACGGACACAUUGGGACUGAGAUACGGCCCAGACUUCUACGGGAGGCAGCAGUUAAGAAUAUUCCGCAAUGGACGAAAGUCUGACGGAGCGACGCCGCGUGGAUGAAGAAUGCCGAAAGGUUGUAAAAUCCUUUUAAGCCUGAUGAAUAAGCACAGUAGGGAAUGAUGGUGCGGUGACCGUAGGGAUUGAAUAAGCACCGGCUAAUUACGUG